ACCCACUGGGAUCUCAAGUAUCCAUAUCCAAUAUGUAUUAGGAUGGAAUUUACUGCAGGGAUUUACGGCGGAUGCCUGGUCAGUUCAUGACAACAUGGCUUCAAUUCUGCAAACAGGCAAAUGUUUCAACACUACCGUGUCUUCAAGAGUCGACAACAUAAGGAGGCGCAUAUAUAUAUUCAAGCUCCAACAGAUGUACAAUCAUUCAAUGGAUUGAAAGAUGUUUGCUCUUGCAACUGGAGGUGAGCGUGAAAGGCCAAAUUGGCAGCAGAAAAAAUGAAAUUGAUGGCAACAGCAAUCAAAUGACCCUUAAAAUACACCACCAUAUUCAAAUAUAUAUAUAUAUUCUUCUUUAGAAGCCAUUUGUCGCACAGGGAUGGGAAAUGAUUGCAUAUUGUUAAUGCUAGCUGUGAGUCUGUAUCCAUACCCUCAGAUGUUAAUUAAAAUCUGUUCAUCUUUUUGAGUCAGCCAUAUUACUUUUUAAUGGAAUAUUUGAAUGUUACAGCAAGAAGACAUGUUUAUAAUGGAGAAAGAGAAAAUACUAUAUGUCCCGAGUGGUUCCAUCAUGAGAAUAUAUGGUUGUUGACGUUUGGGAUGUAAU